UACGUAGGGUGCGAGCGUUAAUCGGAAUUACUGGGCGUAAAGCGUGCGUAGGCGGUUCGUUAAGUUCGUUGUGAAAGCCCCGGGCUCAACCUGGGAAUGGCAAUGGAAACUGGCGGGCUGGAGUAUGGCAGAGGGGGGUGGAAUUCCUGGUGUAGCGGUGAAAUGCGUAGAUAUCCGGAGGAACACCAGUGGCGAAGGCGACUUUCUGGCCUGUUCUUGACGCUGAGGCGCGAAAGCUAGGGGAGCAAACGGG
rnacentral:rRNA from 1 species